ACGGAAAACAGUCAUACCAUCCAGGAAAACGAUAUUGACAUGUCUCUGACGGACUCCACAGAUCUUCCAUCGCCUUCCAAUGUUCCUAAUGUGAAAACAGCCUGUCCUAUUUGUCAGGAGUUGUAUCCAAACGAAUAUGUUGAGGUUCACGCCAGCUCCUGUGGUGAAAGAGCUUCCAAGGCCAUCAAUUUAGUGUCAGACGAUGAGGACACCGAUGGGACAGACACACACCCAAAACGACGCAGACACCAGGAGAGUAAAAG